rnacentral:lncRNA from 1 species
CAAACUAGUAAAAGGAAAAGCUCUACACCUGAGAGCAAUAAAAACCAGCCUACUUGGAUUGAAAAUAUCACCCUCCUACUAACUGGGGAAACACUUAGUAUACACCGUGCCACCAUAUACAUAGUGACUCACCUUGAUGUCCAAUUUCAUCACGAGUCAUAUUUAAAGUUAAUACGCAAUUAACAUCAACUAAAUAUAACUCUAUGAAAUAGGAAAACAUACAGUAGUAAUCUCAAAACGCAUAAGUUCAUAUCAUAUCAACAGUAUCAGCUUAUGAAUCUCAAACUUUCCCCAACAUGCCAGAGUAUAUCAAUUGCAUAUAUCUUUAUAGAAAAACUCAAAUCAUUGAAAAUAAAUGCCGAAUUAAAUUUCCUGAUCAUGCUUGUUUAUGAAAAAAUAAGUCAUAGUUCAAGCCAUUGCUCACCUUCAUUGCCUUAUAAAAAAAAGUCAUAGUUCAAGUCAUCGCUCACCUCCACCGCCAAUUAACUCUAAUGAUAUUUUAUGACGUCGCGUCUGGAUCAACUUGCAUGCACCUCAACUAUUUCACCAACUCCAGUGAUCACGAUAUGAGUGGCGCUAUCGCGGUGAAGAGCUUUUAAUGGCACUCCGCGAUUGUGGACUUCUAGCGUGGUCGCCUAAGUAACUCUGGCCACCUAAGCUUUGGAAGAUGGAAAUGAAUCACAUAGUAUUUUCGCCUCCGCUGGAUUUGAAAUGGUUUCUCGUAGUUCUCCUCCUACUUCAUUAACCACUAGGCCACUGCCUUGGGUGCAACUAAAAUCCAACUUCCGAUCAACAAAAUAAUUCAAUUCGUCAAUGAAGUGUAAAGCAACACAUAGUUUAGAGUUACCAACUUCAUAUUUUAAUCAAUUCAAGUAAUAGGAAAUCACAAUGCACGUUAACUGAAGUCUUGGCUAACUCAAGGUUUCCUCGACUAUGCUUUUCAUAGUUAUUCUCAAUGAAAUUCCUUACAAUUUCUCCAUACUCAAUCCAUAGGUCAAUCAUCACUAGAUCAAUGUCACCAUAAUAAUUCUUACCCAAGGUGCCCAUAUCAAUUAGACACAAGAAUAUGCUUGAAAAUCCAACAUCAAUAGGUGUAGCCUAGAAGUAUGUGGUUGCAAACUCCAAAUUCUACCCGAGGAAAAAACACUAGUUGGUUUCUAAGUACACGUGUUGCUGGUGGAAGGUAGCAGGCAUCUAUUAAUAUUGUCAGUGUCCGAACACAACUGUUAUAGAAACAGCCUCUCUAUCUUUCCAAAGUAGGGUAAGGUCAGCAUACACACUAACCUCCCCAGACCCCAUAUAUUGUUGUUGUUGUAGUGUCCGAACACAACUGUUAUAAAAAUAAAAAAUAAAAAUUACAUCUGUGCAUGAAAAACCCACAAUUUCCAAGCUCUCAUUUCACAAUUAAAUCUCUAACCCAAUUGUACUUCCAACAAAAUGAUACCCAUUAAAUUAUAAGCAAAAUUCAUGGCUUGGAGACCGAUUCUUACCUCAAAUAGGUGAAAUCAACGGAUAAUUAUGACGGGUAACCUCCUACUCUUCCAACUCCAAGAAGAACUAGUUGAGAAAUGGAGGUUUCUAAUCUCGUGCUUCCUAUUCAAAAUUCCAAUCACCCAAUUGUUCUUGAGCUCAAAGUUCUCAAUCGCAAAGUAUUUGGAAUGAAUAUUAAAUUUCGGUCGAACAAGAACUUACUAAUAACCGCUCAUGAAGAAAUCAGAGUCGCGACUGCGGUAAUGAAGAAUGCGAAUACUGAAC